UACGUAGGGCGCAAGCGUUAAUCGGAAUUACUGGGCGUAAAGCGUGCGCAGGCGGCUUUGCAAGACAGAUGUGAAAUCCCCGGGCUUAACCUGGGAACUGCAUUUGUGACUGCAUGGCUGGAGUGCGGCAGAGGGGGAUGGAAUUCCGCGUGUAGCAGUGAAAUGCGUAGAUAUGCGGAGGAACACCGAUGGCGAAGGCAGCCCCCUGGGCUAACACUGACGCUCAUGCACGAAAGCGUGGGGAGCAAACAGG
rnacentral:rRNA from 1 species